rnacentral:rRNA from 1 species
UUGGAGGGCAAGUCUGGUGCCAGCAGCCGCGGUAAUUCCAGCUCCAAUAGCGUAUAUUAGAGUUGUUGCAGUUAAAAAGCUCGUAGUUGAAUUUCGGGAUUGGCACAUCGGUCGUGCCUUAAGGGGCAUGAACUGGUGUAGCCAAUUUCUCACCUUCUGGAGAACCGCGAUGUCCUUAAUUGGGUGCCGCGAGGAACCAGGACCUUUACUUUGAAAAAAUUAGAGUGUUUAAAGCAGGCAUUUUGCUUGAAUACAUUAGCAUGGAAUAAUAAAAUAGGACGGAUGAUCCUAUUUUGUUGGUUUCUAGGACCACCGUAAUGAUUAAUAGGGAUAGUUGGGGGCAUUAGUAUUCAAUUGUCAGAGGUGAAAUUCUUGGAUUUAUUGAAGACUAACUACUGCGAAAGCAUUUGCCAAGGAUGUUUUCAUUAAUCAAGAACGAAAGUUAGGGGAUCGAAGACGAUCAGAUACCGUCGUAGUCUUAACCAUAAACUAUGCCGACUAGGAAUCAGACGAUGUUAAUUUUUUAAUGACUCGUUUGGCACCUUACGGGAAACCAAAGUGUUUGGGUUC